rnacentral:rRNA from 1 species
AUACGGAGGGUGCAAGCGUUAUCCGGAAUCAUUGGGUUUAAAGGGUCCGUAGGCGGGCUAAUAAGUCAGGGGUGAAAUCCCACAGCUUAACUGUGGAACUGCCCUUGAUACUGUUGGUCUUGAGUUACAGUGAAGUGGUUAGAAUGUGUAGUGUAGCGGUGAAAUGCAUAGAGAUUACUCAGAAUACCGAUUGCGAAGGCAGAUCACUAACUGUAUACUGACGCUAAUGGACGAAAGCGUGGGGAGCGAACAGGAUUAGAAACCCGAGUAGUCC